GUAAGGAAUAUUGGACAAUGGACGCAAGUCUGAUCCAGCCAUGCCGCGUGAAGGAUUAAGGUCCUCUGGAUUGUAAACUUCUUUUAUAAGGGACGAAAAAAGGCUUUUCUAAGUCGUCUGACGGUACCUUAUGAAUAAGCACCGGCUAACUCCGUGCCAGCAGCCGCGGUAAUACGGAGGGUGCAAGCGUUAUCCGGUUUCACUGGGUUUAAAGGGUGCGUAGGCGGACAGGUAAGUCAGUAGUGACAUCCUAGAUCUUAACUCUAGCACUGCCAUUGAUACUAUCUGUAUUGAAUAUUGUGGAGGUAAGCGGAAUAUGUCAUGUAGCGGUGAAAUGCUUAGAUAUGACAUAGAACACCUAUUGCGAAGGCAUCUUACUACGCAUAUAUUGACGCUGAGGCACGAAAGCGUGGGGAUCAAACAGGAUUAGAAACCCGGGUAGUCC
rnacentral:rRNA from 1 species